rnacentral:rRNA from 1 species
CCCUUAGAUGAUUUGGGCUGCACGCGCGCUACACUGACCCUAACAAUGAGCAACUGUCUGGCCUGAGAUGGCUGGGUAGCCUUUUCAACCCAUGUCAUGAUUGGGCUAGAUUUUUGUAAGUCUUGAUCUCUAACGAGGAAUCCCUAGUAUGCGUGAAUCAUCAAUCCAUGCAGAUUAUGUCCCUGCCCUUUGUACACACCGCCCGUCGCUACUACCGAUUGAAUGGUUUAGUGAGAUCUCUGGAUUGACGCUGGCUAGGGGGCGACCCUUGGCCAGACUGUUGAGAAACUGCUCAAACUUGAUCAUUUAGAGGAAGUAAAAGUCGUAACA